CUGCUGCCUUCCGUAGGAGUUUGGGCCGUGUCUCAGUCCCAAUGUGGCCGGUCGCCCUCUCAGGCCGGCUACUGAUCGUCGGUUUGGUGGGCCGUUACCCCGCCAACUGCCUAAUCAGACGCGGGCCCAUCCCAUACCGCUAAUGCUUUCCAUCCAGGGGCAUGCGCCCCCGCAUGUACAUGCGGUAUUAGCAGCCGUUUCCGGCUGUUAUCCCCCUGUAUGGGGCAGGUUACCCACGCGUUACUCACCCGUCCGCCA
rnacentral:rRNA from 1 species